rnacentral:tRNA from 1 species
CCUUCGAUAGCUCAGUUGGUAGAGCGGUGGACUGUAGAGGAAAAUUGUGGAUGAUCGUGGUGUUUCACGGCGUAUAAAUGAGGCCUAUGCUUCAUUGUACAUGGAUUGGCCUGGUACGCACAAUCAUUCCCAUUGUGGUUCAGUUAUCCAUAGGUCACUGGUUCAAAUCCGGUUCGAAGGA